rnacentral:tRNA from 1 species
GCCUGGCUGGCUCAGUGGGAAGAGCAUGUGACUCUUGAUCCCAGGGUCAUGGGUUCAAGUCCCACACUGGGUG